ensembl:rRNA 5S_rRNA 5S ribosomal RNA
AUGUACGGCCAUACCACCCUGAACGCACCUGAUCUUGUCUGAUCUCAGAAGCUAAGCAGAAUCUGGCCUGGUUAGUACUUGGAUGGGAGACUGCCUGGGAAUACUGGGUGCUUUUUUGC